GUAGGUGAACCUGCGGAAGGAUCAUUACCAAUCCAACCUUAUAAACAACUGUGCACCUGUUUUUGUCCUUGGGAGGAAGUAGGCAAGUAAUUGCCGAGAGCCUCCCAAACGUUUUAAACAACUUUUUAAACAAUUUUGUUGACAAACUUUUCUGCGGCUUCAAAGCACAGAAAUAUUUUAAACAAAAUACAACUUUUAACGGUGGAUCUCUUGGUUCUGGCAUCGUUGAAGAACGCAGCAUCUGACUGAC
rnacentral:misc_RNA from 1 species